UCCGUAGGCGGUGUGGCAAGUCGGAAGUGAAAUCUCUGGGCUUAACCCAGAGGCUGCUUCCGAAACUGCCGUGCUAGAGUGUGAGAGAGGCGAGUGGAAGUUGCGGGUGUAGCGGUGAAAUGCGUAGAUAUCCGCAGGAACAUCCGAGGCGAAAGCGGCUCGCUGGAUCACAACUGACGCUGAGGGACGAAAGCUAGGGGAGCAAACAGGAUUAGAUACCCUGGUAGUCCUAGCCCUAAACCAUCAGGACUUGGGGUUUGCCCUGUACGGGGCAAGUCCCGUAGCUAACGCGUUAAGUCCUGCGCCUGGGGAGUACGGUCGCAAGGCUGAA
rnacentral:rRNA from 1 species